GCGGGCGGCCUUGCCCGGUGGCCCCGGGUCCCGGGGCUCCGCGGCGGGGCUUCGGGGGGCUCCGGUUCUAGGUAUUUCUGCACACCCAAAUCCUUCUGUUGGCAGGUCGCAGGGUGUUGUUCCAGUCCCACUCCUCCCCGCGUUCCCUUUGCUCUGGACACCGAGGCCUGGGAUCCCAGACCAAGGCCAGGAAUAAUCAGCAGGCCAGGAAGACGCUGGUAAUGACAGGACAGGGCCGUUCCCUCAACCCCAGCUGAGCGUCACCAGGUGAGUCAGGAAGCUGGAAGACAAGGUGUUCAGCAAACACAGUCGCUUUGCUAUUUAUAUAUCGCCACAGUAUUACUCAGAGCUGUACUGUAUGCAAAGAUUUGUAGACUAAUAGAGUACCUUUGCACCAAAAAAA